UAGGGAAUAUUGGACAAUGGGCGAAAGCCUGAUCCAGCAAUGCCGCGUGAGUGAUGAAGGUGUAAUGCAUUGUAAAGCUCUUUUACUAGGGAAGAUAAUGACGGUACCUAGAGAAUAAGCACCGACUAACUAUGUGCCAGCAGUCGCGGUAAUACAUAGGGUGCAAGCGUUGCUCGGAAUUACUGGGCGUAAAGAACAUGUAGGAGGGCUUAUAAGUCAUCAGUGCAAUCCCAAGGCUUAACCUUGGAACUGCUGAUGAUACUAUUAGUCUUGAGUAAGAUAGAGGGCAGUAGAAUUCUUAGUGUAGGGGUUAAAUCCAUAGAUAUUAAGAGGAAUACCGAAAGCGAAAGCAGCUGCCUGGGUCUUUACUGACUCUGAAGUGUGAAAGCGUGGGGAUCAA
rnacentral:rRNA from 1 species